CAAUAGCGUAUAUUUAAGUUGCUGCAGUUAAAAAGCUCGUAGUUGGAUUUCGGGUGGGAAUGGCCGGUCCGCCGUUUCGGUGUGCACUUGCUACGCCCACCUUGCUGCCGGGGACGUGCUCUUGAGUUCACGCUCGGUACACGGAGUCGGCGAGGUUACUUUGAGUAAAUUAGAGUGUUCAAAGCAGGCCUACGCUCUGAAUACAUUAGCAUGGAAUAACACGAUAGGACUCUGGCCUAUCUUGUUGGUCUGUAGGACCGGAGUAAUGAUUAAGAGGGACAGUCGGGGGCAUUCGUAUUUCAUUGUCAGAGGUGAAAUUCUUGGAUUUAUGAAAGACGAACUACUGCGAAAGCAUUUGCCAAGGAUGUUUUCAUUAA
rnacentral:rRNA from 1 species